rnacentral:rRNA from 1 species
AGAAUCAACGCUGGCGGCGUGCCUAACACAUGCAAGUCGAACGAGAAAGGGGAGCAAUCCCUGAGUAAAGUGGCGCACGGGUGAGUAACACGUGACUAACCUACCCUUGAGUGGGGGAUAACCUAGGGAAACCUGGGCUAAUACCGCAUAAUACCUUCGGGUCAAAGGAGCAAUUCGCUUAAGGAGGGGGUCGCGGCCGAUUAGUUAGUUGGCGGGGUAAUGGCCCACCAAGACUGUGAUCGGUAUCC